AGGAAGGCGUUGAUGCUAAUAUCAUCAACGAUUGACGUUACCAACAGAAGAAGCACCGGCUAACUCCGUGCCAGCAGCCGCGGUAAUACGGAGGGUGCAAGCGUUAAUCGGAAUUACUGGGCGUAAAGCGCACGCAGGCGGUUGAUUAAGUUAGAUGUGAAAUCCCCGGGCUUAACCUGGGAAUGGCAUCUAAGACUGGUCAGCUAGAGUCUUGUAGAGGGGGGUAGAAUUCCAUGUGUAGCGGUGAAAUGCGUAGAGAUGUGGAGGAAUACCGGUGGCGAAGG
rnacentral:rRNA from 1 species